ensembl:misc_RNA
CUGGCAGCUCUGAAAAUCAGAACCCUGUAGUUACCCACAGAGCAGGUACAACACAGGCAGCAGCAGGGCUGGCUUUUGCCUGCCAACAUGCCUCUGUCCUGAGCACCUUUAGGUGGUAAGGAGUCAUUUCAGCCUCCAUGGCUCAGUCAGUCCAUGCCCUCU